CAGAACAGAAAAGCAGAGCAUUAGCAGUAGCAAGAGAAGAAAAAACAGAGAGCUCGGAAGAACCAAGAAAGAAAAAGAGGAUUUCUUGCGUGCCUCUCCACGGGUUGGAUGAACUUCGUUUCGCGGCGCCCAGGUCACAGGCGGACUAGCAGUGACUGUUAAGCAGUUCAUCAUGUUCUGAGGUUGGCCUGCGCAGGAGCUUGGGAGGGAGGUUGAAUGAGUCUUUUCCAAAUGGUUAUGUUGCUCCACUUCAGAUGUCAGAGUCUUUAGUUUUGCAGAGUUGAAAGUUGCAACAAGAAGCUUCAGGUCUGAUACAAUUCUUGGCGAUGGUGGUUUUGGUAGUCUUGAAAGGCUGCUUUGAUGAGAAGGGAUCUUUCCAGAGCAAAAGAAUGACUCCAAUUGCCAUUAAAAAAAAAAAAAAAUUGAACCAAGGGAGCAUGCAAGGCUUCAGAGAGUGGAAGUUGGAGGUGAACUUCCUGGGCAGCUUAUCCAAAGGAUUGUCAGGCUAAUGGCAUGUUGUUUGGAGGAUGAACUACUACUUGUCCAUGACUUCUUGCCAGAGACUGCACUAAAGAACCAUCUCUUUCGAAGUAAGGUUCUUUACUGGGCGAUAUAUACAUGCUUGCUUUAAAUUUAUGAUAAAUAGGAUCUUUUCUUGGUUCAAUUAAAUAUACAAAUCAUGUGUCUUUCCUGCUGCAUGGGGCUUCGCCAUUAAACCAUUUCCAUGGGUCACAUUGCUUAGCUUAAAAUUGCAAUAGGAGUAGCCAAAGGCCUUGCGUUCUUGCACCAGUUAGCCAAAUAAUCUGCAGAGAUUUCAAGCACUCACGUAUUGCUGGACUUCGUAAGUUUCAUGUUCGUUACUUAGAUUAAAUGAAGCAAUACCACAUUGUUGUUACCUUUAAAAUUUGAUUCCAAAAUCUUGUCCUGUGCUGAAAUAAUUCAACUAUGUUUGCAACAUCCUGUUUUUUUGCAAUCUCCUCUUGCCAUACUGGAAGCAACAUUACAUGCGACGUCACAAGUUACUGGAGCUUAUGGCUAUGCGGCACCCAAGUAUAUAGCCACAGGUAAUAUGAUGGGCUUUCUGAAUUGCUUGGGGCGAUCAUAGUAGAGAACAUUGCACUUUGGACUUAGUUUGACCAUUCUUAAUGCCAUGUUUAGCAAAUUCAUGUUAGAGCACUGGCCAUCCAUGAACGAAGUCAUGGAAAUUGUGGGAAAAAUUAGUUACGCCUGAUAGAAAACAUUAUUUCCUAGACAAUUGAUCACAACUCGACCUUCUUUCUCGGACACAGUUAGUAAAUCUUUAUUCAUCA